UGGGGAAUAUUGCACAAUGGGCGCAAGCCUGAUGCAGCGACGCCGCGUGAGGGAUGACGGCCUUCGGGUUGUAAACCUCUUUCAGCAGGGGAGAAGCGAAAGUGACGGUACCUGCAGAAGAAGCGCCGGCUAACUACGUGCCAGCAGCCGCGGUAAUACGUAGGGCGCGAGCGUUGUCCGGAAUUAUUGGGCGUAAAGAGCUUGUAGGCGGUUUGUCGCGUCUGCUGUGAAAGCCCGGGGCUUAACUCCGGGUUUGCAGUGGGUACGGGCUAACUAGAGUGCAGUAGGGGAGACUGGAAUUCCUGGUGUAGCGGUGGAAUGCGCAGAUAUCAGGAGGAACACCGAUGGCGAAGGCAGGUCUCUGGGCUGUAACUGACGCUGAGAAGCGAAAGCAUGGGGAGCGAACAGG
rnacentral:rRNA from 1 species